rnacentral:misc_RNA from 1 species
GAUGAAGAACGUAGCGAAAUGCGAUAAGUAAUGUGAAUUGCAGAAUUCAGUGAAUCAUCGAAUCUUUGAACGCACAUUGCGCCCAUUAGCAUUCUAGUGGGCAUGCCUGUUCGAGCGUCAUUUCGACCCUUAAGCCCUGUUGCUUAGCGUUGGGAGCCUACAGUACUGUAGCUCCCCAAAGUUAGUGGCGGAGUCGGUUUCACACUCUAGACGUAGUAAUUUUUUCUCGUCUGUAGUUGAGCCGGUCCCCUGCCGUAAAACACCCAAUUUAUCAAGGUUGACCUCGGAUCAGGUAGGAAUACCCGCUGAACUUAAGCAUAUCAAUAAGCGGAGGA